rnacentral:sRNA from 1 species
GAAGAAGAAGAAGAAAC